rnacentral:lncRNA from 1 species
UUUUCUUUAUUUAAUUCUUUGUCACCUCAUUAAAAUUCCUACGUGACAUGCAUGAACUAGUAAUGAUACUUCCGUUAGGACCAACCUUACCACUCUAUAUGGGCUGCGUGAUGAGCUAACACGCAUCUCGAGCAUCUAACUGUGAGGUCAUUUUUCUUGGGCUGAGAAUGUGUCACUUGAGGGAUCUCAACGAUCGCCAAGUGUCGUGUCAGGCCCUCUCUCAGAAUUUCC